GGGUUGACGAGCUCAAGGCUUGGGGACACCAGAGUGUGCUUUGGGGUUCUGUUUGAAUCUAACCAGUUCUUCACCCAGAAGGGGUCCACAGUACUCCAGGCACUGAUGAUGACGGAUCAGCCAGUCUACCUCACUGGUUGAACUUGCGGGAACAAACUGCACUGAAGACUCCGUCAAAGAUUGCACAUCUGCAUCUCAGCUUUUACUUCUCACAAGGCCAUCUAUAUUCUACAGAUAUCAAGAUUCUACUUCUUGGUGUCCAUUUUUACUGAUCUUCAAAAGAGUGCUUUUCCUUCCUGCAACUUGGAGUACACCAAGGUCUUCAAGAGAUUGAAUCUCAUCUAACUUCACCAGUGUCUUCACCAGCAGAACUCAAUGUUUCUGCCCUGAGCAGUGCAUCAGCACAACUGAAAUUGUGAAUGUAUGUUAACCCAUGUAGUCAAAGAAUUAUUUUAAAUCAAUGGUUAUAAAUCCUUAUGUUGAAUAGAUACCAUUUUGAUUAAUAGUUAAAAAUAAUGAUGUAGGCUAGGAAAAUGUCAAGAUGACUUGUUUAUCAUAGCUGAAGGUUGUUGAGGAUGUUUUCCAUAACACAUUCACGUUUUAAUUAGUGUGUUAAAGAUCCUGCCUGUGGAAAAUCAAUUAUAAAAGAUGUAUGGCUGAACUAUACUUUGUUCAGCCUAGGACACAGCAUAUCAGGUGCUGUCCACACAAGAGCCAACUUUCAUGUGACAAUAUGAAGUGGUGAAGCAAAUGUGUUGUCUUCAAAGUUAAAUUCUGUCAGACUUGGACUGUUCCAUCGUUUCAUCAAUUUUUAGUGACUCCAGCAAUUUCAGGAAGAAGGAAAACUGCAGAAAUUCCAGAACGGCUGAAAUUGUGUGGAAUGUAACGGGAGGAGAAGGAUAACAACGUAUAACAACUUUCGAGUACAGUACACAGCUCAGCAGUACACCACUGAAGAUUCAACUUUGAUUUUGUGCUCAACAAACCCAAGCAAGAAGUUUCGGGUCUGAAUCAGGAGACUUUUCAAUGAUGCAAGACUUUUGCCUGCUGUUUGGUAAUUUUACCAACCGACUCCAUCAAAGAAGUAAAAUUCAUAUGGUUUAUGGACUGAACAAUUGUCGAUUUAUUUACUUUAGUACAAACAUUUAGGUAUGUGAUUGAAUUGGUUUGCUGUAUUGUGAUAAUUGAA